rnacentral:rRNA from 1 species
UACGGAGGGUGCGAGCGUUAUUCGGAAUUACUGGGCGUAAAGCGCGUGCAGGCGGGUGGAAAAGUCUGAUGUGAAAGCCCCGGGCUCAACCUGGGAAGUGCAUUGGAAACUGUUCAUCUUGAGUGCUGGAGAGGAAGGGGGAAUUCCCGGUGUAGAGGUGAAAUUCGUAGAGAUCGGGAGGAAUACCAGUGGCGAAGGCGCCCUUCUGGACGGCAACUGACGCUGAGACGCGAAAGCGUGGGGAG